rnacentral:misc_RNA from 1 species
AUCACACCCUGUUAUUGUACAGAAAUGAUUCAACUCCGGAAUCCAGACUGGGCUGCUACAAAUCAGAAUUCCUAAACAAAUUCUCUCAUAGUUCACUAACUCUGAUCAUUCUGAUCAAUGGAACAUUAUUCAACCAAUGCUUGGUACAAGAGAACGGUGGGCAGGUCGUAUUGAGUUAUUUAAUGCUUCACUUAUCCUACUGAACACUAUUUUCAAGGGGACACAAGCUACCGCAGGUCCUUUAAGCUUCUCUACUACAGGUUUCUUCUCUCUAUUUUGCUGGUGAGAACCGGUUAAAGAAGACAAUUUUCUAAUCUUCUUUGAAAGAAGGCCAUUUUUCCGUGUCUUGGGCGACUUUGCUGGUGAACUGCGAGGUUUCAACAUACGAUGCUUAGUCGAAAUCCUACCCGCAGAACUCGGCUUGGAUUCAUAAACAAUAUUUGCACUAUGCAAAACUGAGCUGUUCUCACCAUGAUCCUCAUCUAAGUCAUAGCUGCUACUAUAGUGCUCAGAUCCACUGAGUAGCAG